GACGAACGCUGGCGGCGUGCUUAACACAUGCAAGUCGAACGAUGAAGCUAGAGCUUGCUCCGGUGGAUUAGUGGCGAACGGGUGAGUAACACGUGAGUAACCUGCCCCGAACUCUGGGAUAACUGCUGGAAACGGUAGCUAAUACCGGAUAUGACCAAUGAAGGCAUCUUCUGUUGGUGGAAAGAAUUUCGGUUCGGGAUGGACUCGCGGCCUAUCAGCUUGUUGGUGAGGUAACGGCUCACCAAGGCGACGACGGGUAGCCGGCCUGAGAGGGUGAUCGGCCACACUGGGACUGAGACACGGCCCAGACUCCUACGGGAGGCAGCAGUGGGGAAUAUUGCACAAUGGGCGCAAGCCUGAUGCAGCAACGCCGCGUGAGGGAUGAAGGCCUUCGGGUUGUAAACCUCUUUUAGCAGGGAAGAAGCGAAAGUGACGGUACCUGCAGAAAAAGCACCGGCUAACUACGUGCCAGCCGCCGCUGUAA
rnacentral:rRNA from 1 species